rnacentral:rRNA from 1 species
GACGAACGCUGGCGGCGUGCCUAAUACAUGCAAGUUGAGCGCUGAAGGUUGGUACUUGUACCAACUGGAUGAGCAGCGAACGGGUGAGUAACGCGUGGGGAAUCUGCCUUUGAGCGGGGGACAACAUUUGGAAACGAAUGCUAAUACCGCAUAAAAACUUUAAACACAAGUUUUAAGUUUGAAAGAUGCAAUUGCAUCACUCAAAGAUGAUCCCGCGUUGUAUUAGCUAGUUGGUGAGGUAAAGGCUCACCAAGGCGAUGAUACAUAGCCGACCUGAGAGGGUGAUCGGCCACAUUGGGACUGAGACACGGCCCAAACUCCUACGGGAGGCAGCAGUAGGGAAUCUUCGGCAAUGGACGAAAGUCUGACCGGGCAACGCCGCGUGAGUGAAGGAGGUUUUCGGAUCGUAAAACUCUGUUGGUAGGGAAGAACGUUGGUGAGAGUGGAAAGCUCAUCAAGUGACGGUAACUACCCAGAAAGGGACGGCUAACUACGUG